UGCAGUCGAACGAACUUAACCAUUAGUUUACUAGUGGAGCGGUUAGUGGCGGACUGGUGAGUAACACGUAAGCAACCUGCCUAUCAGAGGGGAACAACAGUUAGAAAUGACUGCUAAUACCGCAUAUGCCUUGAGUAUCACAUGGUACAAAAGGGAAAGGAGCAAUCCGCUGAUAGAUGGGCUUGCGUCUGAUUAGAUAGUUGGUGAGGUAACGGCCCACCAAGUCGACGAUCAGUAGCCGGACUGAGAGGUUGAACGGCCACAUUGGGACUGAGAUACGGCCCAGACUCCUACGGGAGGCAGCAGUCGGGAAUAUUGCGCAAUGGAGGAAACUCUGACGCAGUGACGCCGCGUGCAGGAAGAAGGUUUUCGGAUUGUAAACUGCUUUAGACAGGGAAGAAACAAGACAGUACCUGUAGAAUAAGCUCCGGCUAACUACGUGCCAGCAGCCGCGGUAAUACGUAGGGAGCAAGCGUUAUCCGGAUUUAUUGGGUGUAAAGGGUGCGUAGACGGGAAAUUAAGUUAGUUGUGAAAUCCCUCGGCUUAACUGAGGAACUGCAACUAAAACUGAUUUUCUUGAGUGCUGGAGAGGAAAGUGGAAUUCCUAGUGUAGCGGUGAAAUGCGUAGAUAUUAGGAGGAACACCAGUGGCGAAGGCGACUUUCUGGACAGUAACUGACGUUGAGGCACGAAAGUGUGGGGAGCAAACAGGAUUAGAUACCCUGGUAGUCCACACCGUAAACGAUGGAUACUAGGUGUAGGGUGUGAUAAACAUUCUGUGCCGUCGCAAACGCAGUAAGUAUCCCGCCUGGGGAGUACGGCCGCAAGGUUGAAACUC
rnacentral:rRNA from 1 species